rnacentral:rRNA from 1 species
CGUAACACGUGGGCAAUCUGCCCUCCGAUGGGGAAUAACCCCGCGAAAGCGGGGCUAAUACCGCAUAACAUUCCUUGAGCGAUGGUUCGAGGAUUCAAAGCAGUAAUGCGUCGGAGGAGGAGCCCGCGCCCGAUUAGCUAGUUGGCGAGGUAAUGGCUCACCAAGGCAAUGAUCGGUAGCUGGUCUGAGAGGAUGAUCAGCCACACUGGAACUGAGACACGGUCCAGACUCCUACGGGAGGCAGCAGUGGGGAAUCUUGCACAAUGGGCGAAAGCCUGAUGCAGCGACGCCGCGUGGGGGAUGAAGCUUUUCGGAGUGUAAACCCCUUUCGCCUGGGACGAAUGCCCGCAAGGGAGUGACGGUACCAGGAUAAGAAGCCCCGGCUAACUACGUGCCAGCAGCCGCGGUAAGACGUAGGGGGCCAGCGUUGUUCGGAAUUACUGGGUGUAAAGGGUUCGUAGGCGGUGUGGCAAGUUGGGAGUGAAAUCUCUGGGCUCAACCCAGAGGCUGCUUCCAAAACUGCUGUGCUUGAGUGUGAGAGAGGCUCGUGGAAUUGCAGGUGUAGCGGUGAAAUGCGUAGAUAUCUGCAGGAACACCCGUGGCGAGAGCGGCGAGCUGGAUCACUACUGACGCUGAGGAACGAAAGCUAGGGGAGCAAACAGGAUUAGAUACCCUGGUAGUCCUAGC